GAUGAACGCUGGCGGCGUGCCUAAUACAUGCAAGUCGAGCGAACAGACGAGGAGCUUGCUCCUCUGACGUUAGCGGCGGACGGGUAAGUAACACGUGGAUAACCUACCUAUAAGACUGGGAUAACUUCGGGAAACCGGAGCUAAUACCGGAUAAUAUAUUGAACCGCAUGGUUCAAUAGUGAAAGACGGUUUUGCUGUCACUUAUAGAUGGAUCCGCGCCGCAUUAGCUAGUUGGUAAGGUAACGGCUUACCAAGGCAACGAUGCGUAGCCGACCUGAGAGGGUGAUCGGCCACACUGGAACUGAGACACGGUCCAGACGCCUACGGGAGGCAGCAGUAGGGAAUCUUCCGCAAUGGGCGAAAGCCUGACGGAGCAACGCCGCGUGAGUGAUGAAGGUCUUCGGAUCGUAAAACUCUGUUAUUAGGGAAGAACAAAUGUGUAAGUAACUAUGCACGUCUUGACGGUACCUAAUCAGAAAGCCACGGCUAACUACGUG
rnacentral:rRNA from 1 species